CACAAAACGGAUCAAACGAGAAAAUUAUAGUACUAUUUGUUGUUUAUUUUAAAAAGUAUUAUUACCGUACUUAGGUACCGUAAUUGGUAAUAUGUUUAAUAUUCAAAAGUCCCCUUAUUAAUAUUUAUUUGAAUGAGACAUAGAGAUUUAAGAAUUGAAUUAACUGUCAAUAUUUUUAUUUUAUUAAAAUAACUAAUUUUUACAUUAUUUCUGAAGAGAGAGCAUUUGAAGAAAAUAAUGUCCAGGCUACGAUUUGGCAGAUCGAACGACGGAUAUCGUCUCGUAUCCAAUGAUGAUAGUGGUUUCUCUGACGCUCAGUUUGAAGCACCACCACCGAAGAUUCCAUGGAAAGCCAUAACAUUAGCUGCAUUUCUGUUUUUGGUCGGGACAAUCCUUCUUAUAGUUGGAAGCUUGAUAGUGACUGGUCACAUUGACACAAAAUAUUCAGAUAGGUUGUGGCCUAUGAUCAUUUUAGGAGGCAUAAUGUUUCUUCCUGGAGCUUAUCACAUAAGGAUAGCGUACUGCGCAUAUAAGCAGUAUCCAGGAUAUAGUUUUACAGACAUUCCAGAAUUUGAUUAGCACUAGUAUCUCACUGUAUUUGAGAUUCAAAUAAGUAACAUGCAACACAAAUCAUCUUCCUGAAUAAUGUAGUUAAUUUCAAUUGUAUAUAUCCUUAUCACUUUUUAGUGAUUACUUAUUAUUUGUUGCUAGUUCUUUUAAUUAAUUCCACAAAAUUUUGCUUUAUAACUAUAAUUUUAAAUUAUAGUAGUAAGAUUAUUUAGUUACAUUUAUUUUUGGGCAAAUUUAAAUUAAAUUUAAUUCUCAUGAUGAAGUCUGUUUUAAACAGAAUGCACAGUGUGACUGAGCAGAAACUGUCAAGAAAACAGUUAAAUUAAUAUUUUUCAAAUCUUAUAUAAAAGGUAAGAGGCAUGAUUUAGAAUAUUGUUAAUGUUAUUGGCAACAGUGAGUAACAAACCAAGACUGUGGUCUUGUUACAAUAACUAGCAAAGGGGUUGAGCAAUACAUUGAAGAAAUAUUAGGGUUGUCACAUGAAUGUGGAACAGGCCUUUCUAAUCAAUUCUAAUUAAGGCCAGACUAAUUAUCAGACGAUCAUUAUGGCUAGACAUUUGAUUUUGAGGUUGCAGUCACAGAAAAAAUCCUAAUGAGCGAUUAAAUUGACAAGACUGCUUAAUGCUUACCCUUACACUCACUUAUCAUUCUGCUGAUCCCACAGAAUGAUUCCAACACUACACCAAGCUAAUAAUGGCAAAUAAAACCGUUUUGCUUGGAAUACUUGUUAGCAUUAUUCUCUGAUGAACCCCAGUCCGACUGACAUACAGACUAUUGUAAAAUAUAAGCUUAGUGAGCUGGAUGUGAGGGCAUUAUUAUCAAUUUCUCUAAGUGUGGAUAUUAUGAAAUUAUGCAUUUUUGUCUGUUCUGGCAUUACUGUGUAGACAAUAUAUAAAUAGUUUAACUCUGAGCCGAUAUGGUUGCACAUGGAUAUCAGGAAUCUCAUGCCACUGUUAACCAUUGAAUGUGCAUAGCUUCAUUUAAUGUAUGAAUACCUAAUACUAUCAAAUUAUAGACAUUUAAGAUGCAUGCUAUUUAUUAAAUGUUCAUGUUAAUUUAAUAAUUAUUUCACGAUUAACCACCAAAACCAGAAGUAUUUGUUUGCCAUUUUUUUAUUUUUGAACUAUAAAAUCCUUUCUAUAAAAUAACAUGAAUUUCUUAACUACUCAUAAUGUUUUUGUGGAUAAAAGACUUCAACUUUGUGGGUUGUCAAGUGGGAGAUGACAUUCACUGGUGUGAUGACUGGGCUAUGUGAACUACAUAACACUACGUGACUAGUGAGUUUGCUAAUCCAUCAAUAAAAAAUAAAUCUGAAAUGGAGUGUCAGAUAAUGAAUAGUGGCUCUCCACUCUCUCUCACUCUCUUGGUGGGUAUUAAAAUGUAUAUGUAUUAUAUAUAAAUAAAUUGAAACCUGUUUAAUAGAAA